rnacentral:rRNA from 1 species
GGAAUAUUGCGCAAUGGGCGAAAGCCUGACGCAGCAACGCCGCGUGAGGGAUGAAGGCCUUCGGGUUGUAAACCUCUUUUAGCAGGGAAGAAGCGAAAGUGACGGUACCUGCAGAAAAAGCACCGGCUAACUACGUGCCAGCAGCCGCGGUAAUACGUAGGGUGCAAGCGUUAUCCGGAAUUAUUGGGCGUAAAGAGCUCGUAGGCGGUUUGUCGCGUCUGCUGUGAAAAUCUGAGGCUCAACCUCGGACUUGCAGUGGGUACGGGCAGACUAGAGUGCAGUAGGGGAGAAGGGAAUUCCUGGUGUAGCGGUGGAAUGCGCAGAUAUCAGGAGGAACACCAAUGGCGAAGGCACUUCCCUGGGCUGUAACUGACGCUGAGGAGCGAAAGCGUGGGGAGCGAACAGGAUUAGAUACCCUGGUAGUCCACGCCGUAAACGUUGGGCGCUAGAUGUGGGUCACAUUCCACGUGAUCCGUGUCGCAGCUAACGCAUUAAGCGCCCCGCCUGGGGAGUACGGCCGCAAGGCUAAAACUCAAAGGAAUUGACGG